CUUAACAUCAUAAUCACAAUCAUAACUCAUCAUGCAUAUGUUCACACAACUUGUGACAAUUCACCUAUAUAUAAGCAUGCAAAGCAAUCUCAAUCAUUAUCCACAUCAAACAUCAUUAAGCAUACUCAUCAUGCAAUUAACAAGUCAAACCAUCAUCAGAUAAGGUGUUCAAGCAAGUACCAUAAAAACCCUAUACUACUAAAGCUAAAGCAAAAAUAGUGAAUAAAAAAAACAUUUUGGGUUGCCUCCCAACAAAAGCUUGUUUAAUGUCACGAGUCUGACCCAAACCUUUCUAGCACUUGUCAGUAAGUGCAUCUCCUUCCACCACCCUUCAGUAGAUGUACUUUCUUGUACCCUUCAGUGAGUACAUAAAAUUUUCAGCUUCCCUCAGUAGAAGCUACCCAAUAAUAAAAAUUGUUCAUAGUUACAUCACCAAGAUUUUAAAAAAACAUAAAAAAUAAUGUUCUUGGAUAACUGGGGUGCCUCCUAGUAAGCGCUCUUUUUAUGUCACUAGCUUGACACAAUAAGGCUCACGUCUCCUCUUCUAUGUUGAUGUCUUCAUCACACCAACUCAUUAAUUGCUUUCGAUCCACCUUCUUGACUAUCCUAGAGUAUGGAGCUUCAAUUUCUAUCACCCCAUUCUUUUGGCCUUUCACCACUCAAUUCUUCUUCUUGAAUCUCACCUGUGAACAAAGCUGGAAUAGUGCGUCCUCCAAGUCAAUGUGGAUUAUUCCUCCUUUAUCAACAUCUUCCUCUUCCUGUACCUGUAUGACACUAUAGUUAUUACCUGUGUUAGCACCUUUAGACCCAUCAACUGCUGCAUCUUUCUUUGAAGCUUUAUAUUUAGCCCUAUUUUGUAUUCACGUCAGCUUUUCCUUAGAGGUAGUAUAGAUUAACUUGUGUUCUUGGUUUUUUAACAUAACCAUCUCGUCAUGGACACUUAUGACCACUUUGGCCAUUUUCAUGAAUGGCCUUCCAAGAAUCAAAGGAAUCAUCUGAUCGCCUUCAUCUCCAUUACCACGAAAUCGACCAAGAAUUCAAGAUGUUCAACACGAAUUACAACAUCCUCUACCAUACCAUAAGACCUCUUAAAAGAUCCAUCCGCCACAACCACCGAAAUAUUAUAUGGUUUUAAUGUUACCCCACCAAUCUUUUUCAACAUAGUCAAGGGCAUCAAAUUAAUACCUGACCUAGAAUCAAGUAACGCUCUCCC
rnacentral:lncRNA from 1 species